rnacentral:rRNA from 1 species
CACGCCGUAAACGAUGAUAACUAGCUGUCCGGGUUCAUGGAAUUUGGGUGGCGCAGCUAACGCAUUAAGUUAUCCGCCUGGGGAGNGCGCAGAACCUUACCAGCGUUUGACAUCCUCAUCGCGUUUACCAGAGAUGGUUUACUUCAGUUCGGCUGGAUGAGUGACAGGUGC